AGGGCUGUGGCUGAGUGAUAAAGCAUCUGCUUGACAUGUAGAAGGUCCCAGGUUCAAUUCCUGGCAUCUCUA